AGUUUAUGAUUGGUGUUUGUAGAGAUGUUACCUGUGCGUUUCCUGACCCAGGUCCGACUUUAGUCCUGGAUGGAGGGUGGCUCUGUUCCUGUGGUUUGGUUUUGAGGUUCGAGUUGAAGACCAAGCAGGUGAGAAUCAAAAGAAUGUUUUAUUUCUAUCUCAGUCAGAAUGAACUGUUCUGUCUCUGUUUGUGACCAUUAACCUGUGUGAGUUCAUGUGAUACCGUCAGAGACAGAAAGCUGCUCUGACUGUGACCUGACCAAUGUAAAGAAUAAUGACUGUGUUAAUGUGAGCGUUUUAACAUACAUGUUCUGCACAUUAUGAACGGCUCCAUUUAUAAAGCUUUCACUCUGUAACAAUUAUUCUCCAUUACUGUAAAGCAAACCCAACAUGAAAAGAGUAAAAAUAAAGGAAUCGGUGUCAUUAUCUUUCAUGACUUCCAGCACCUGCAAAGAAAUACAGCAGAGACUGAAAUAAAGUGAAACUACCACCCCGCGGGGCACCAACGGGCCGAGCCGUUUCACGCCGCCACCUCUGUGGACUGCCUCCCCAGCAGACGACUGCCCUGAUGCACUGCCUGUCAUCCCGCAUGCAUUGCUCUCCAUGGAGGCCAGGGCAGUUGUGAUGGCUGGUGCUUGUGAUCGAAGUAUGAUUAAAAUAUAAAAUAUAAUAUAGAAUAGUUUGAUAAAGAUGUCAUAGUAAAGGAUGAUAAAAAAAAUAUAGUAUGGAACAAAAAAUGUAUACUAUAUUAUGUUCAUCAUUGUUAAGUAUGAAAAAAUAUCAAAAUAUAGGAUGUUGAAUAUCAUAGUGUAGUAUGUUAAAAUUUCAUACUAAUGUAUUAUAAGAAUGUCAUAGUAAAGUAUGUUAAAAAAUCAUAGUUAAAUAUGAUAAAAAUAUCAUAGCGUAGUACAUUCAAAUGUCAUAUAGUGUAAUAAAAAUAAUGUAAAAUAAAUAUUUCAGAGUAAUGGUGGAUAGAAAUGCCAUAAUAAAGUAUGAUAAAAAAUGUCAUAGUAAAGUAGAUUAAAAAUGUCAUAGUAUAGUAUGAUAAAAAUGUCAUAGUAUAGUAUGAUAAAAUGUCAUAGUAUAGUAUGUUAGAAAUUUCAUUAUUUCAGUUUGAAAGAAAUUGUCCUAGUAUAAUAUGGUAAAAAUGUCAUAGUAUUGUAUGAUAAAAAUGUCAUAGUAUAGUAUGUUAAAAUUUCAUAUAUCAGUUUUAAAAAAAUGUCAUAGUAUAGCAUGAUAAAAAGUCAUAGUAUAGUACGAUAAAAAAUUCAUAUUUCAGUUUGAAAGAAAAUGUCAUGGUAUAGUAUGAUAAAAAGUCAUAGUAUAGUAUGUUAAAAAUUUCAUAUUUCAGCUUGAACAAAAAUGUUAUAGUAUAGUAUAAUAAAGAAAAAAUCAUUGUAUAGUAUGUUAAAAAAGUCAUAGUAUAGUAUGAUAAAAAGUCAUAGUAUAGUACGAUAAAAAUUCCAUAUUUCAGUUUGAAAGAAAACCUCAUAGUAUAGUAUGAUAGAAAUGUCAUAGUAUAGUAUGAUAAGAAUCUCAUAGUAUAGUAUGUUAGAAAUUUCAUUAUUUCAGUUUGAAAGAAAAUGUCAUAGUAUAAUAUGAUAAAAAUGUCACAGUAUAGUAUGAUAAAAAUGUCAUAGUAUGUUAAAAAUUUCAUAUUUCAGUUUUUUAAAAAUGUCAUAGUAUAGUGUGAUAAAAAGUCAAAGUAUAGUACGAUAGAAAUUUCAUAUUUCAGUUUGAAAGAAAAUGUCAUAGUAUAGUAUGAUAAAAAUGUCAUAGUAUAGUAUGUUAAAAAAAAUCAUUGCAUAGUAUGUUAAAAAUAAGUAUGUUAAAAAUUUCAUAGUAUAGUAUGUUAAAGAUUUCAUAUUUCAGUAUAAAAAUUUUUAUAUUAUAGUACGGUAAAAAUGUUAUAGUAUAGUAUGAUAAAAUGUCAUAGUAUAGUAUGUUAGAAAUUUCAUUAUUUAAGUUUGAAAGAAAAUGUUAUUGUAUAAUAUGAUAAAAAUGUCAAAGUAUUAUAUGAUUAAAAUGUCAUAGUAUAGUAUGUUAAAAAUUUCAUAUUUCAGUUUUUAAAAAAUGUCAUAGUAUAGUAUGAUAAAAAUGUCAUAGUUUAGUAUGUUAAAAAUUUCAUAUUUAAGUUUUUUUUUUUAAAUCAUAGUAUAGUAUGAUAAAAAUGUCAUAGUAUAGUAUGAUAAAAAGUCAUAGUAUAGUAGGAUAAAAAUUUCAUAUUUCAGUUUGAAAGAAAAUGUCAUAGUAUAGUAUGAUAAUAAUCUCAUAGUAUAGUAUGAUAAAAAUCUCAUAGUAUAGUAUGUUAGAAAUUUCAGUAUUUCAGUUUGAAAGAAAAUGUCAGUAUAAUAUGAUAAAAAUGUCACAGUAUAGUAUGAUAAAAAUGUCAUAGUAUAGUAUGUUAAAAAUUUCAUAUUUCAGUUUUAAAAAAUUUCAUAGUAUAGUAUGAUAAAAAGUCAUAGUAUAGUACGAUAAAAAUGUCAUAUUUCAGUUUGAAAGAAAAUGUCAUAGUAUAGUAUGAUAAAAAUCUCAUAGUAUAGUAUGUUAGAAAUUUCAUAUUUCAGUUUUUAAAAAAUGUCAUAGUAUAGUAUGAUAAAAAGUCAUAGUAUAGUACAAUAAAAAUUUCAGAUUGAAAGAAAAUGUCAUAGUAUAGUAUGAUAAAAAUGUCAUAGUAUAGUAUGGUAAAAAUGUCGUAUUAUAGUAUAUUAAAAAUUUCAUUAUAUCAGCUUGAACAAAAAUGUUAUAGUAUAGUAUGAUAAAAAAAAAUCAAUGUAUAGUAUGUUUAAAAUGUCAUGGCAUAGUAUGUUAAAGAUUUCAUAGUAUAGUAUGUUAAAGAUUUCAUAUUUUAGUAUAAAAAAUUUUAUAGUAUAGUACGGUAAAAAAUGUCAUAGUAUAGUAUGUAAAAAUUUCAUAUUUCAGUAUAAAAAAUGUUAUAGUAUAGUAUGGUAAAAAUUUCAUUGUAUAGUAUGAUAAAAAUGUCAUAGUAUAGUAUGUUAAAAAUUUCAUGUUUUAAUUUGUUUUAAACAUGUCAUAGUAUAGUAUGAUAAAAAUGUCAUAGUUUAGUAUGUUAAAAAUUUCAUAUUUAAGUUUUUUUUUAAAUCAUAGUAUAGUAUGAUAAAAAUGUCAUAGUAUAAGUAUGAUAAAAAGUCAUAGUAUAGUAGGAUAAAAAUUUCAUAUUUCAGUUUGAAAGAAAAUGUCAUAGUAUAGUAUGAUAAAAAUCUCAUAGUAUAGUAUGAUAAAAAUCUCAUAGUAUAGUAUGUUAGAAAUUUCAUUAUUUCAGUUUGAAAGAAAAUGACAUAGUAUAAUAUGAUAAAAAUGUCACAGUAUAGUAUGAUAAAAAUGUCAUAGUAUAGUAUGUUAAAAAUUUCAUAUUUCAGUUUUUGUAAAAUGUCAUAGUAUAGUAUGAUAAAAAGUCAUAGUAUAGUACGAUAAAAAUUUCAUAUUUCAGUUUGAAAGAAAAUGUCAUAGUAUAGUAUGAUAAAAAUCUCAUAGUAUAGUAUGAUAAAAAUCUAAUAGUAUAGUAUGUUAGAAAUUUCAUUAUUUCAGUUUGAAAGAAAAUGUCAUAGUAUAAUAUGAUAAAAAUGUCACAGUAUAGUAUGAUAAAAAUGUCAUAGUAUAGUAUGUUAAAAGUUUCAUAUUUCAGUUUUUAAAAAAUGUCAUAGUAUAGUAUGAUAAAAAGUCAUAGUAUAGUACGAUAAAAAUUUCAUAUUUCAGUUUGAAAGAAAAUGUCAUAGUAUAGUAUGAUCAAAAUCUCAAAGUAUAGUAGGAUAAAAAUUUCAUAUUUCAGUUUUUAAAAAAUGUCAUAGUAUAGUAUGAUAAAAAGUCAUAGUAUAGUACGAUAAAAAUUUCAUAUUUCAGACUGAAAGAAAAUGUCAUAGUAUAGUAUGAUAAAAAUGUCAUAGUAUAGUACUGUAAAAAUGUCGUAGUAUAGUAUAUUAAAAAUUUCAUUAUUUCAGCUUGAACAAAAAUGUUUUAGUAUAGUAUGAUAAAAAAUAUCAAUGUAUAGUAUGUUUAAAAUGUCAUGGCAUAGUAUGUUAAAGAUUUCAUAGUAUAGUAUGUUAAAGAUUUCAUAUUUCAGUAUAAAAAAUUUUAUAGUAUAGUACGGUAAAAAAUGCCAUAGUAUAGUAUGUUAAAAAUUUCAUAUUUCAGUAUAAAAAAUGUUAUAGUAUAGUAUGGUAAAAAUUUCAUUGUAUAGUAUGAUAAAAAAAAAUGUCAUAGUAUAGUAUGUUAAAAAUUUCAUGUUUUAAUUUUUUUUUUAACAUGUCAUAGUAUAGUAUGAUAAAAAUGUCAUAGUUUAGUAUGUUAAAAAUUUCAUAUUUAAGUUUUUUUUAAAAAUCAUAGAAUAGUAUGAUAAAAAUGUCAUAGUAUAGUAUGAUAAAAAGUCAUAGUAUAGUAGGAUAAAAAUUUCAUAUUUCAGUUUGAAAGAAAAUGUCAUAGUAUAGUAUGAUAAAAAUCUCAUAGUAUAGUAUGUUAAAAAUUUCAUAUUUCAGUUUUUAAAAAAUGUCAUAGUAUAGUAUGAUAAAAAGUCAUAGUAUAGUACGAUAAAAAUUUCAUAUUUCAGUUUGAAAGAAAAUGUCAUAGUAUAGUAUGAUAAAAAUGUCAUAGUAUAGUAUGUUAAAAAUUUCAUAUUUCAGUUUUUAAAAAAUGUCAUAGUAUAGUAUGAUAAAAAGUCAUAGUAUAGUACGAUAAAAAAUUCAUAUUUCAGAUUGAAAGAAAAUGUCAUAGUAUAGUAUGAUAAAAAUGUCAUAGUAUAGUAUGGUAAAAAUGUCAUAGUAUAGUAUGUUAAAAAUUUCAUAUUUCAGUCUUUAAAAACUGUCAUAGUAUAGUAUGAUAAAAAUGUCAUAGUAUAGUAUGAUAAAAAUCUCAUAGUAUAGUAUGUUAAAAAUUUCAUAUUUCAGUUUUUAAAAAAUGUCAUAGUAUAGUAUGAUAAAAAGUCAUAGUAUAGUACGAUAAAAAUUUCAUAUUUCAGAUUGAAAGAAAAUGUCAUAGUAUAGUAUGAUAAAAAUGUCAUAGUAUAGUAUGGUAAAAAUGUCAUAGUAUAGUAUGUUAAAAAUUUCAUAUUUCAGUUUUUAAAAACUGUCAUAGUAUAGUAUGAUAAAAAUGUCAUAGUAUAGUAUGAUCAAAAUGUCAGUAUACUAUGUUAAAAAUUUCAUAUUCCAGUUUUUCAAAAAUGCCAUAAUAUAGUAUGAUAAAAAGUCAUAGUAUAGUACGAUAAAAAUUUUAUAUUUCAGAUUGAAAGAAAAUGUCAUAGUAUAGUAUGAUAAAAAUGUCAUAGUAUAGUAUGGUAAAAAUGUCGUAGUAUAGUAUGAUAAAAAAGUCAUAGUAUAGUACGAUAAAAAUUUCAUAUUUCAGUUUGAAAGAAAAUGUCAAAGUAUAGUAUGAUAAAAAUGUCAUAGUAUAGUAUGUUAAAUAUUUCAUAUUUCAGUUUUUGUAAAAUGUCAUAGUAUAGAAUGAUAAAAAGUCAUAGUAUAGUACGAUAAAAAUUUCAUAUUUCAGAUUGAAAGAAAAUGUCAUAGUAUAGUAUAAAAAAAUGUCAUAGUAUAGUAUGAUAAAUAUUUCAUAGUAUAGUAUGUGUAAGAUAUCAUCAUAUUUCAGUAUAAAAAAUUUUAUAGUAUAGUAUGGUAAAAAUUUCAUAUUUCCGUUUUUUAAAAAUGUCAUAGUAUAGUAUGAUAAAAAUGUCAUAGUUAAGUAUGAUAAAGGUCAUAGUAUAGUAUGUUAAAAAUUUCAUAUUUCAGUUUUUAAAAAAAAUGUCAUAGUAUAGUAUGAUAAAAAUGUCAUAGUAUAGUAUGUUAAAAAUUUCAUAUUUCAGUUUUUAAAAAAAAUGUCAUAGUAUAGUAUGAUAAAAAUGUCAUAGUAUAGUAUGAUAAAAAAUCUCAUAGUAUAGAAUGUUUAAAAUUAUACGUUUCAAUAUGAAAAAUGGCAUAGUAUAGUAUGCUUAAGAAGUCAGAGUAAAGUAUGAUAAAUAAAUCCAUAGUAUAGUAUGAUAAAAAUGUCAUAGUAUAGCAUGAUAAAAAAUGUGAUUGAUGAGUAUGUUAAAAAUUAUAUGUUUCCAUAUGAAAAAAGUCAUAGUAUAGUCUGAUAGAAAUGUCAAAGUAUAGUAUGUAAAAAAAAUCAUAUUUCAGUUUAAAAAACAUUUUAUAGUAUAGUAUGAUAAAAAUGUCAUAGUAUAGUAUGUUAAAAAUUUCAUAGUAUAGUAUGUUAAAAAUUCCAUAUUUCAGUUUGAACAAAAAUGUCAUAGUAUAGUAUGUUAAAAAUUGUGUUUUGAUAUGAACAUAAUGUCAUAGUAUAGUAUGAUAAAAAUGUCAUAGUUUAGCUUGUAAAAAAUUGCAUAUUUCAGUUAGAAAAGAAAAAGGUCCUAGUAUACCAGUUUAAAAAUGCCAUAGUGUAGUAUGUUAAAAAAAUAUUUAUAUUCUAGUUUUUAAAAAGUCAUAGUAUAGUAUGAUGUUACAGCUGUGGGUGUGGGUGUGUCCUGGUUCUUCUGCUGUGUGUCUCUCUCUGGUAGGUUCCUCCCCAGGUGUCUCAGGUCAACCUGCUUGGUGUGAUGAGUGGGGGCAGAUAUAAGAAGGCACAGUUGAGCUGACUCUCUCUCUCUCAGCCCUCGUGAUCGUCACUCGUGCUGCAGACCUCAUGAUUUGUUGACUGUGUGUCAAUCUUGUACAUUUUGGUUCUCUUGAAGUCCAGGUUUUCCGGUGGCAGGAGCCUGUGGUGUUUUUUUUUUUUUGUUUGUUUGCUUGAAUAGUUGGCAGUGGAUAUUGGUUUUUUAAUAACUUAUUAGUUAUUAUUAGUUGUUUGAGCUUUUAGAAUUAUUUUUGACUGUAAAUAAACUACUCGCUUAUUCUGAUUUCCUGUUUCCUACACUUCAUUUCGUCUCCCCUGCCUGGUUUAAUUUAUUGUUACUCCCCAUCCUUCCCCUAACCAUUCUUCAGGGUCGUAACAUAUGAUAAAAAUGUCAUGGUAUAGUAUGAAAGAAAUGUCAUAGUAAAGUAUGUUAAAAAAUUCAUAUUUAAAAUUUUCAUAUAUAAGUUAUUUAAGUUUUUCACAUAUUUUUUCUUGAAUAUUGUGAAUUAAUUUUAGAAAGUGAAGUGUCCAUACAGCCCUAA